CUGGAUUAGAUUCUGCUCUGUGAAAAGAAAGAGCAUUUUCACAGGCUCUGGAACAAAGUGGAAUUAUCCCACAGUCACAGUCCUGGAUUUCUGCUGGGCUUGGGGUGCGGAUGGUGCUGAACGCCCCAAAAGUGGCCAUGGAGCUGGGGAAGCCCCAGGAGGGGCUGAGGGAGCUGGGAAGGGGCUCAGCCUGGAGAAAAGGAGGCUCGGGGGGAAUUUCUGGCUCUGCACAAGUCCCUGCCAGGAGGGCACAGCCGGGGGGAUUUGGGAUUUCUGCCAGGGAACAGGGACAGGAGGAGAGGGAACGGCCUCAGGCUGGGCCAGGGGAGCUCAGGGUGGGAUCAGCAGGAAUUUCCCCAUGGAAAGGGUGGGCAGGGAUUGGAGGAUCAGCAGGAAUGGGGGGGGGGGGGGGGGGGGGGGGGGGGGGGGGGGGGGGGGGGGGGGGGGGGGGGGGGGGGGGCGCUCUUCCGAUCUAGUGUCCCGCAGGGGCUCGAAGAUGCAGGGCAGGGUGUCCUGGCUGCCCCAGGCCCCGGGGAGCAGCAGGGGCUGGUGCUUCGUCCCCUCCACGUGGCACUGGGGACGUGCCCAGGUGGUGACACCACAGCGAUCCUGGAGGGGACAGUCCCCAUCCCCACCAGCCGCUCUCCCAAAAACGAUGAAAAUUUGGAUCAGGAGAGGCUGUGCUCUAUCCAAACCCAUCCCCAAGGACGCACGGCCAGCCAGGACAGCAGGACACGUCCCCAACCCAGGGCAAGGCCCCUACCUUGACUCAGCCGCCCCCUCCAGCUCUCCUCUACAACUCUGGCCCCCCGGGGGGGGGGGGGGGGGGGGGGGGGGGGGGGGGGGGGGGGGGGGGGGGGGGGGGGGGGGGGGGGGGGGGGGGGGGGGGGGGGGGGGGGGGGGGGGGGGGGGGGGGGGGGGGGGGGG
rnacentral:lncRNA from 1 species